ACUACUUCUUCCAGAUCUCUCCCCAUUUUUCUACGCUCUCAAAGUUUCUUCACUUCAUUUUCCCCAUAUCUCACGCCCUUCUCUUCUUCCAAUGCUCUCCACCUUCAUUUUCCAUCUUCUAGUUGUUUGUGCUUGAUUUAGGAGAUCAUUGUCUUUGCCUCUAUUGACAAUGACUUUGACGAUCGGUAGACAACAUCCUUAAUCUUUCUGAUACCUCAACGAAGACAUUCUUUGAGCCAUUUCGACAUUUUAGAGAUCUGAGAGGGGUAAUGCACUUGACAAUCUUGACGGUGUAGUGAUGGCAGGUGAAAAGGGGGGUAAGAAAACAAAGAAGGCUAAGGAGACGGGGGUUCCCCAGAGACCAUCACAAAACCUUGUGAUUAGAGAUAGAAGCCCGUCGCCAC